UACGAAGGGGGCUAGCGUUGUUCGGAUAUACUGGGCGUAAAGCGCACGUAGGCGGCGCCGUAAGUCAGGGGUGAAAUCCCGGAGCUCAACUCCGGAACUGCCCUUGAAACUGCAGUGCUAGAAUCCUGGAGAGGCGAGUGGAAUUCCGAGUGUAGAGGUGAAAUUCGUAGAUAUUCGGAAGAACACCAGUGGCGAAGGCGACUUACUGGACACAUAUUGACGCUGAGGUGCGAAAGCGUGGGGAGCAAACAGG
rnacentral:rRNA from 1 species